CUACGGGUCGCUCCAGUGGGGAAUAUUGCGCAAUGGACGAAAGUCUGACGCAGCGACGCCGCGUGCGGGACGAAGGCCUUCGGGUCGUAAACCGCUGCCAGGAGGGAAGAACCCUACAUGUUCGAAUAGGGCAUGUAGCUGACGGUACCUCCAGAGGAAGCACCGGCUAACUCCGUGCCAGCAGCCGCGGUAAUACGGAGGGUGCAAGCGUUAAUCGGAAUCACUGGGCGUAAAGCGUGCGUGGGCGGCCUGCCAAGUCAGGUGUGAAAGCCCUCCGCUCAACGGAGGAAUUGCACUUGAAACUGGUAGGCUGGAGUCUCGGAGAGGGUGGCGGAAUUCCCGGUGUAGGAGUGAAAUCCGUAGAUAUCGGGAGGAACACCAGUGGCGAGGGCGGCCACCUGGACGAUGACUGACGCUGAGGUACGAAAGCGUGGGGAGCAAACAGGAUUAGAUACCCUCGUAGUC
rnacentral:rRNA from 1 species